rnacentral:lncRNA from 1 species
GUCCAGUGAUUAAUAUUUUUUUAAUGUUCAGGACCAUCAGUAAUUUGGUUAAAAUCAUAAAAAAAUGUUGUCUAAGAAGAUAAAUAUAAAAAUUGGAAAUAAAAAUUGGGAAUGGAAAUGGUGAAUAUGUCAAAGAGACAACAACCCAACCAAAGAGCAGACAACUGUACAUGUGUAUCAUGGUAUCUAUGCAUAAAAAAUUAUUAUGAAGGUAGUAUAGUUUUCAAAACAUCAAUAUCUAAGAAAGAAAGAUCUCAAAGUUUGACCCCUAAUUCCACUGAUCAUAUAAACUAUAUUUAU